UUCAGGUGCCCAGGGCGGUGCCGAAUGGGACCGGGCUCUCCUUCCUGUGCGCGGGCGGACGGGGACAAUGGCUCCGACCUGGCCCAUGAAUCGCAGCCUGGGCUCGCCCUGCAAUCAGCUGUGCUGCUCACAGGAAACGAGCCACCUGCCCUGCUUCCUCUCAUUUAACUGGUUUAUUUUUAAGUGGAAAAGGCUGUGAGUUUUGUUCCUUUUUCUCAGGGACUUCAGGUCCCUGAAGGCUGCUGCAGAACAGUACAGGCAGCCUCGGGAGCCUGCCUGUGGGAACCACUUGCUGGUAUCUUCACGCAGCAGCACAGAACUAAAGCCAGGGCUAUCUGCAAGGUGUUCAUGGACCAAAAUACUGGGCACAGUGGCAGAAACUCCUGAAGUUAUCGGAGCCUCAUUCUGCCACGUUCACAAGGAGAGCAGUGGAAAAUGUAACUGAACAAAAAGGCAGGUCCUGGCACACUUCUGUAGCUGUGCUGUCCAAGGCUGCAUCUCUUGCUGCUGUUCGUGUGGUCCUGGUGAGCAGAGAGGCUCUCCAGCUGGGAGGCAGCACGACUGCCACCAGUUUGAUCUGGACUUUUGCUGACAUCUACAGUGAUAUCCCCUGUAAGACUGUCUCACUGUCCAGACGGUACCAUCCUGCUUUCCUGGAUUUUUCCUCUACAAAUCAGUUCUGUAAAACAUCAAGGUGGCCUAAUUAUUUUCUAUGCUUUGAAGAAAAGUGUUGUGUUUGUGCUCUUCCAUUCAGCCCCUGCAAUGCCUCCAGCCUGUACCACGUUGCUCCUUGUGAAGACAGCUGGCCUAACUCCAGCUGGGUGCUGUGGGUCCAGAUAUGUCACCUCCUGGGAAGCUCUUGUCAAAUGACACAGCUGAUGAGGACUUCAAACUCACCAUGCAGUGCUGUCCCAAGGAACAGAACACAAGGGCAUCUGUCAGGAUUCCUGCUCUGGAAAAGAAGAUCAGAGCAAACGGGGACCGAGGAGAAUAAAAGCUGACCCAAACCUUUGACCCAAAGUUAACAUAAAGCCAAAUGAAACCUUAGAGAGCUCCUCCAAAGUCUUCUCCAGCAUCAUACCUGGGUUGCCUUGUCUCUGCCAGCAGCACACGUGCUGUCUCUCCUGGAGCACCUGAAAAUAGUGACAGCAUCUCCUUGCUGGGGGACGUCAUGGUGAGAUGCUGAGAGGUUCGCUGCUUUCACAACUUUGGCUGGUUUGUCUUUGGAUGCUUGGUUAGUUCCAGCCAUGCACUAAGCACUGCUCAGCUCCUAAAAGGAAACACAGAGCUUGACCCAAGGUGCUGGCUGAGUUCUGAAAUGGGGGGAGGAAUCCUACUGACAGAGAGUUCAGGGACAGAAGAAAUGAUCCUGUUUGCUCUUGUCACUCAUAAUUAGAAGUUGGAAAAUUCUUUGUGUUGGCCCAGUGACAAUCAGUUUUGGCUGUCAAAGCUGUUAGAAAUCUUGUGUUUUUCUGCCUGCUCGCUUGGAUCCACUUUUUCAUUGGCUGCUGUGGCUCAGCUAGUGUGAGUUUUUUUGGUAAAUGUUUGAUCUAUUUGUUUCUAGAAAUCUUGCAGGGCGUGAAUUACUGGAAAUGAAGCAAAAUGUACCAGACAAUCUCAGUGCAUUCUUUUCAGCUCAAAAGGGACUCAUUUGUCCCUUUUCUCCUUUUAGACAUUUCCUCUUUUCUUUCUGGCCUUGUUGUAUUAUUUACUUCAUGGGCCAUUUGUUAUCUGAUUUUUGGCGAAAUAUCAGGGAAAUUUUCCUGACAGUGAACAGGAAAGAGAUGUCUUAAGGGAACAACAACAGUUUCUUUUCCUGGGAGAGCUGGAAAAUGAGAUGAGCUCCAAUGUUGUCCUUGCUGAGACAAAGUUUGGGGACUGCGGUGUGCUUUGUUGGACUCAGCUGUGCAGCUGGUGAGGCUUGACCAGCUGGGCUUUUGGUUCAUUUUUUCCUGGGGUGUGUUAAAGUUGAUAUUUCUCCCUGGAAAUCUUGCCUCCCUGCUGUGAUGGACAGAGGUACCAUCGUAGGUGAGCUGAGGUCCAUGCGUGU
rnacentral:lncRNA from 1 species